CUAAGAGCGAAUGGUGGAUGCCUUGACUGGUAAAGGCGAUGAAGGACGUACUAGACUGCGAUAAGCUACGGGGAGCUGUCAAGAAGCUUUGAUCCGUAGAUUUCCGAAUGGGGCAACCCAAUGUAUAGAGAUAUACAUUACCUAUAUAGGAGCGAACGAGGGGAAUUGAAACAUCUUAGUACCCUCAGGAAAAGAAAUCAAUAGAGAUUGCGUCAGUAGCGGCGAGCGAAAGCGCAAGAGGGCAAACCCAGUGCUUGCACUGGGGGUUGUAGGACUGCAAUGUGCAAGAGGUAAGUUUAGCAGAACAUUCUGGAAAGUAUAACCAUAGAGGGUGAUAGUCCCGUAUGCGAAAAACAAACCUUAGCUAGCAGUAUCCUGAGUAGGGCGGGACACGAGGAAUCCUGUCUGAAUCCGGGUCGACCACGAUCCAACCCUAAAUACUAAUACCAGAUCGAUAGUGCACAAGUACCGUGAGGGAAAGGUGAAAAGAACUGAGGUGAUCAGAGUGAAAUAGAACCUGAAACCAUUUGCUUAUAAUCAUUCAGAGCCCUAUGUAGCAAUACAGGGUGAUGGACUGCCUUUUGCAUAAUGAGCCUGCGAGUUGUGGUGUCUGGCAAGGUUAAGCAAACGCGAAGCCGUAGCGAAAGCGAGUCUGAAUAGGGCGCUUAGUCAGAUGCUGCAGACCCGAAACGAAGUGAUCUAUCCAUGAGCAAGUUGAAGCUAGUGUAAGAACUAGUGGAGGACUGAACCCAUAGGCGUUGAAAAGCCCCGGGAUGACUUGUGGAUAGGGGUGAAAGGCCAAUCAAACUUCGUGAUAGCUGGUUCUCUCCGAAAUAUAUUUAGGUAUAGCGUUGUGUCGUAAUAUAAGGGGGUAGAGCACUGAAUGGGCUAGGGCAUACACCAAUGUACCAAACCCUAUCAAACUCCGAAUACCUUAUAUGUAAUCACAGCAGUCAGGCGGCGAGUGAUAAAAUCCGUCGUCAAGAGGGAAACAACCCAGACUACCAGCUAAGGUCCCUAAGUCUUACUUAAGUGGAAAACGAUGUGAAGUUACUUAAACAACCAGGAGGUUGGCUUAGAAGCAGCCAUCCUUUAAAGAAAGCGUAAUAGCUCACUGGUCUAGUGAUUUUGCGCGGAAAAUAUAACGGGGCUAAAGUAAGUACCGAAGCUGUAGACUUGCACACAACUUAGAUUAUUUAAGUUUAGAAUAUGAGAAACUAAGUUAUGUUUAGUUAUAUUUUUACUGAUUUUUAUAGAGUAAAGAUAGAAAUAAAACUUAGUAAAAUCAGUAAAAAUAUUCUUAGGCUAAAGUUAAGUAGUUUAAGUUGUGUGCAAGUGGUAGGAGAGCGUUCUAUUUGCGUCGAAGGUAUACCGGUAAGGAGUGCUGGAGCGAAUAGAAGUGAGCAUGCAGGCAUGAGUAGCGAUAAUUAAUGUGAGAAUCAUUAACGCCGUAAACCCAAGGUUUCCUACGCGAUGCUCGUCAUCGUAGGGUUAGUCGGGUCCUAAGUCGAGUCCGAAAGGGGUAGACGAUGGCAAAUUGGUUAAUAUUCCAAUACCAACAUUAGUGUGCGAUGGAAGGACGCUUAGGGCUAAGGGGGCUAGCGGAUGGAAGUGCUAGUCUAAGGUCGUAGGAGGUUAUACAGGCAAAUCCGUAUAACAAUACUCCGAGAACUGAAAGGCUUUUUGAAGUCUUCGGAUGGAUAGAAGAACCCCUGAUGCCGUCGAGCCAAGAAAAGUUUCUAAGUUUAGCUAAUGUUGCCCGUACCGUAAACCGACACAGGUGGGUGGGAUGAGUAUUCUAAGGCGCGUGGAAGAACUCUCUUUAAGGAACUCUGCAAAAUAGCACCGUAUCUUCGGUAUAAGGUGUGGUUAGCUUUGUAUUAGGAUUUACUCCGAAAGCAAGGAAACUUACAACAAAGAGUCCCUCCCGACUGUUUACCAAAAACACAGCACUCUGCUAACUCGUAAGAGGAUGUAUAGGGUGUGACGCCUGCCCGGUGCUCGAAGGUUAAUUGAUGGGGUUAGCAUUAGCGAAGCUCUUGAUCGAAGCCCGAGUAAACGGCGGCCGUAACUAUAACGGUCCUAAGGUAGCGAAAUUCCUUGUCGGUUAAAUACCGACCUGCAUGAAUGGCGUAACGAGAUGGGAGCUGUCUCAAAGAGGGAUCCAGUGAAAUUGUAGUGGAGGUGAAAAUUCCUCCUACCCGCGGCAAGACGGAAAGACCCCGUGGACCUUUACUACAGCUUGACACUGCUACUUGGAUAAGAAUGUGCAGGAUAGGUGGGAGGCUUUGAGUAUAUGACGCCAGUUGUAUAUGAGCCAUUGUUGAGAUACCACUCUUUCUUAUUUGGGUAGCUAACCAGCUUGAGUUAUCCUCAAGUGGGACAAUGUCUGGUGGGUAGUUUGACUGGGGCGGUCGCCUCCCAAAUAAUAACGGAGGCUUACAAAGGUUGGCUCAGAACGGUUGGAAAUCGUUCGUAGAGUAUAAAGGUAUAAGCCAGCUUAACUGCAAGACAUACAAGUCAAGCAGAGACGAAAGUCGGUCUUAGUGAUCCGGUGGUUCUGUGUGGAAGGGCCAUCGCUCAAAGGAUAAAAGGUACCCCGGGGAUAACAGGCUGAUCUCCCCCAAGAGCUCACAUCGACGGGGAGGUUUGGCACCUCGAUGUCGGCUCAUCGCAUCCUGGGGCUGGAGCAGGUCCCAAGGGUAUGGCUGUUCGCCAUUUAAAGCGGUACGCGAGCUGGGUUCAGAACGUCGUGAGACAGUUCGGUCCCUAUCUGCCGUGGGCGUAAGAAGAUUGAAGAGAUUUGACCCUAGUACGAGAGGACCGGGUUGAACAAACCACUGGUGUAGCUGUUGUUCUGCCAAGAGCAUCGCAGCGUAGCUAAGUUUGGAAAGGAUAAACGCUGAAAGCAUCUAAGCGUGAAGCCAACUCUAAGAUGAAUCUUCUCUAAGCUCUCUAGAAGACUACUAGUUUGAUAGGCUGGGUGUGUAAUGGAUGAAAGUCCUUUAGCUGACCAGUACUAAUAGAGCGUUUGGCUUAUCUUUA
rnacentral:rRNA from 1 species